rnacentral:rRNA from 1 species
UGAAGAUGCGGUGUACCCGCGGCUAGACGGAAAGACCCCGUGAACCUUUACUGCAGCUUGACAUUGAACUUUGAUCUUACUUGUGUAGGAUAGGUGGGAGGCUUUGAAGUCGCGACGCUAGUUGCGAUGGAGCCGUCCUUGAAAUACCACCCUGGUAAUAUUGAGGUUCUAACUCUGUCCCGUUAUCCGGGACGAGGACCAUGUCUGGUGGGUAGUUUGACUGGGGCGGUCUCCUCCUAAAGAGUAACGGAGGAGUACGAAGGUGCGCUCAGCGUGGUCGGAAAUCACGCGUAGAGUAUAAAGGCAAAAGCGCGCUUAACUGCGAGACCCACAAGUCGAGCAGGUACGAAAGUAGGUCUUAGUGAUCCGGUGGUUCUGUAUGGAAGGGCCAUCGCUCAACGGAUAAAAGGUACUCUGGGGAUAACAGGCUGAUACCGCCCAAGAGUUCAUAUCGACGGCGGUGUUUGGCACCUCGAUGUCGGCUCAUCUCAUCCUGGGGCUGAAGCAGGUCCCAAGGGUAUGGCUGUUCGCCAUUUAAAGAGGUACGCGAGCUGGGUUUAGAACGUCGUGAGACAGUUCGGUCCCUAUCUACCGUGGGCGUUGGAAAUUUGAGAGGAUCUGCUCCUAGUACGAGAGGACCAGAGUGGACGAACCUCUGGUGUACCGGUUGUGACGCCAGUCGCAUCGCCGGGUAGCUAUGUUCGGAAGGGAUAACCGCUGAAAGCAUCUAAGCGGGAAGCCUACCUCAAGAUAAGAUUUCCCCGAGACUUUAUGUCUCCUAAAGAGCCGUUGAAGACUACGACGUUGAUAGGUUGGAUGUGGAAGCAUAGUGAUAUGUGAAGCUGACCAAUACUAAUUGCUCGUGAGGCUUGACUAUACAACACCCAAGCAGUUG